rnacentral:rRNA from 1 species
UACGAAAGGGGCUAGCGUUGUUCGGACUUACUGGGCGUAAAGCGCACGUAGGCGGCCUUGUAAGAUGGGGGUGAAAUCCCUGGGCUCAACCCAGGAACUGCCUUCAUGACUGCAAAGCUCGAGGAUGUGAGAGGUUGGCGGAAUUCCGGGUGUAGAGGUGAAAUUCGUAGAUAUUCGGAAGAACACCGGUGGCGAAGGCGGCUCGCUGGACGAGUAUUGACGCUGAGGUGCGAAAGCGUGGGGAGCAACCAGG